AUCAACCAUAAAGGGUGUUUAAUCGUUAAGUUAUAAUAUAAAGCUGACAUAAAGGAAUCUCAGUGGCUAGAUAAUGUAACACUUAACCCCUACUGUUAUUAUCACAAUAGGUCCCUACUACCUAAAGAUUAACAUAUACAGGAGUUAUUUAGGUGGGCCAAAAAGGCCAAAAUCGAAUUUAUAUUAGGUUGUGAUAUACGGCAAUGACAUGCCUGUCUGUAAUAUGAAAGAGAAGAGGUAAUAGGGACUUAUAAAUGGGUAAGAUUACUCAAAAUACAAUAAAGUAAAGAGAACCUUUGUUUGAU